rnacentral:rRNA from 1 species
UACAGAGGGUGCAAGCGUUGUUCGGAAUUACUGGGCGUAAAGCGCGUGUAGGCGGCUUGAUAAGUCAGACGUGAAAUCCCUCGGCUCAACCGAGGAACUGCGUCUGAUACUGUCAGGCUUGAGUGUCGGAGGGGAUGGCGGAAUUCCUGGUGUAGAGGUGAAAUUCGUAGAUAUCAGGAGGAACAUCCGUGGCGAAGGCGGCCAUCUGGAAGACAACUGACGCUGAGACGCGAAAGCGUGGGUAGCAAACAGG